GACGAACGCUGGCGGCGUGCCUAAUACAUGCAAGUUGAGCGCUGAAGGUUGGUACUUGUACCGACUGGAUGAGCAGCGAACGGGUGAGUAACGCGUGGGGAAUCUGCCUUUGAGCGGGGGACAACAUUUGGAAACGAAUGCUAAUACCGCAUAAAAACUUUAAACACAAGUUUUAAGUUUGAAAGAUGCAAUUGCCUCACUCAAAGAUGAUCCCGCGUUGUAUUAGCUAGUUGGUGAGGUAAAGGCUCACCAAGGCGAUGAUACAUAGCCGACCUGAGAGGGUGAUCGGCCACAUUGGGACUGAGACACGGCCCAAACUCCUACGGGAGGCAGCAGUAGGGAAUCUUCGGCAAUGGGCGAAAGUCUGACCGAGCAACGCCGCGUGAGUGAAGAAGGUUUUCGGAUCGUAAAACUCUGUUGGUAGAGAAGAACGUUGGUGAGAGUGGAAAGCUCAUCAAGUGACGGUAACUACCCAGAAAGGGACGGCUAACUACGUG
rnacentral:rRNA from 1 species